rnacentral:rRNA from 1 species
GAUGAACGCUGGCGGCGUGCCUAAUACAUGCAAGUCGAGCGAACGGACGAGAAGCUUGCUUCUCUGAUGUUAGCGUCGGACGGGUGAGUAACACGUGGAUAACCUACCUAUAAGACUGGGAUAACUUCGGGAAACCGGAGCUAAUACCGGAUAAUAUUUUGAACCGCAUGGUUCAAAAGUGAAAGACGGUCUUGCUGUCACUUAUAGAUGGAUCCGCGCUGCAUUAGCUAGUUGGUAAGGUAACGGCUUACCAAGGCAACGAUGCAUAGCCGACCUGAGAGGGUGAUAGGCCACACUGGAACUGAGACACGGUCCAGACUCCUACGGGAGGCAGCAGUAGGGAAUCUUCCGCAAAGGGCGAAAGCCUGACGGAGCAACGCCGCGUGAGUGAUGAAGGUCUUCGGAUCGUAAAACUCUGUUAUUAGGGAAGAACAUAUGUGUAAGUAACUGUGCACAUCUUGACGGUACCUAAUCAGAAAGCCACGGCUAACUACGUG